rnacentral:rRNA from 1 species
AACGCGAAGAACCUUACCAAGGUUUGACAUGGCCGGAAAACUCGCAGAGAUGCGGGGUCCUUCGGGGCCGGUCACAGGUGGUGCAUGGCUGUCGUCAGCUCGUGUCGUGAGAUGUUGGGUUAAGUCCCGCAACGAGCGCAACCCUCGUCCCAUGUUGCCAGCGGGUAAUGCCGGGGACUCAUGGGAGACUGCCGGGGUCAACUCGGAGGAAGGUGGGGAUGACGUCAAGUCAUCAUGCCCCUUAUGUCUUGGGCUGCAAACAUGCUACAAUGGCCGGUACAGAGCGCUGCGAGCCCGUGAGGGUGAGCGAAUCGCGGAAAGCCGGUCUCAGUUCGGAUCGGGGUCUGCAACUCGGCCCCGUGAAGCCGGAGUCGCUAGUAAUCGCGGAUCAGCAACGCCGCGGUGAAUACGUUCCCGGGCCUUGUA